CACACCCUAAACGAUGAGAACUAGUUGUUGGCCCUUUUAAGGGUCAGUGACUUAGCUAACGCAUUAAGUUCUCCACCUGGGAAGUACGAUCGCAAGGUUGAAACUCAAAGGAAUUGACGGGGGCCCGCACAAGCAGUGGAGCAUGUGGUUUAAUUCGAUGCAACGCGAAGAACCUUACCUAGGCUUGAAACGCAAGUUAAAUUUGGUGAAAGCCAUUGUCCCGCAAGGGGAACUUGUACAGGUGC
rnacentral:rRNA from 1 species